CAACCAAAAUUAGCCUAAACCAGCCAAAAAUAGCCAGGUCGAGAGGAACCGCCACCGCAGGCGGUGGAACUGGCGCCGAAGCAUCGCGACACCACAUGUCAGAACCCUAAAUUGGUCAUAAAACUUUAAAAUGUCUAUUUUGACUUUUUGAGAUAUUUUUAGAUACAUGACGAGUAUUUUAAUUUCUGCAUGAAAAAUUUUAAAAAUUCAGAGACCGCCAUGA
rnacentral:lncRNA from 1 species